GCCCCGAUAGCUCAGUCGGGAGAGCAUCAGACUUUUAAUCUGAGGGUGCAGGGUUCAAGUCCCUGUUUGGGCG
rnacentral:tRNA from 1 species